ensembl:lncRNA
AUUUAAGCCAGAGAUGAGAAGAGGGCUGGAAGAGGGAAAUUCUCGGAACCUCCCAGCCUUACUGAGCCUCUGGUGAGUUUACACUGCCAGCUGUAAUCAGAGGUCGCUUGGCAAGAGCAUCACAGUGAAGUCUCUCUUCCAAGUGUGUGGGAGCUCCAGUUGUUUCAGAGUGACUCUUCCGUGCUGGCCUACAACUCAGGGUCUAGGGAUCGACAGAGCCCACCUGUUUGCUCACGGAAUGUCUGUUCUUUGCUGCACCAAUGGCUGAUGCUGAAAUGAGUUGAAUGCAGACAGGUCCAGAGGCAAGAGGAUGGAUGAAGUGACCUCUGAAUGCUCUUUCCUGACACAGGAAUAAAAGUCAGUGGCAGCUGAUGUGGCCCUCUGGAGUUGGAGGCAAUAACCAUUGUGAGCAAUGCAGCCUGGAAAAUAACAAUAAUAGUAAUAAUAAGCAACAAGGAGGAAGACAGCUUUUUGAAGGUGGU